UAUAUAUACUGAUGUUCAUGUCCUGAUGGAUGCAUGUUCUGCUUCUCAGGUUGUCUUGUUCUCUUAUCACGCUCGAUUUGCUUAUGUGAUGUAGUCCUAUUAACUCUCUACAGGGAUAACAAGAUGUCUGCAUCCCGGAAAUUUUGGAUUUGAACGCUUCAUUGUAAGAUGAUGAGAUAUGUGAUUUAAUUUCGCUUGGCGAGGAGAAGAGAAGAGAAGAUAAAUAGGCAGAUCUAUGGGAAAAUUCUGAAAUACAUGUAUCUGGGGAAAGAAAUAGUUUCUGCUCGCCCAUCAAAUGUAUGCCAAUUGCAAGAUAAGAAUAUACAGGAUCCUACUCCUAAGAUACAUGGUUUCAUAAAUUUACUCACCUAUUUGCUUUUGCCCGAAGUAUUUUGAAUAGCUUGAUUUGGUGGUGUCUUGGAAAUGAGUCAUUGCAUUUUAAAUUUUAGCUAAAGAUUAUUAUAUUUGGCAAUAACAAGCUAUGUUUAAAGAGAUCGUUAAGAUCUAUUAGAAACAUUUGGAGUAUAUAUAUCUCCUUAGGGUCUUCCCUUUCUGCCCCAAAACAAUAUUGACUGAGUUGAGAUGUACGUAUGCACUGAAGCAUUUAGGCAUUCAAAAUGAGCUACACAUGCUUUUAAUCUUUUCAGCUUGCUUCAGGUUUGCAGGAGAAGGUUUCAGUAGCAAGUCGUUGGACCUCGACAGGGCCGGCUGGAUGGACUUGCUGGUGUUUGAUACUUUGGUUCUUCGCAGAUUUGCUCUGUUCAGUUGUAUCUAAAGCCUAAAGGUAGGCCAGACCAACCAUUUAGUUUUUGAUAUCUUUUUGUUGCACUUUGGAUUAACAAUCUGCAAGAAUGCUCAUGAUUCACACAUUUACUAUCUGAAAUGCAUGUCAGUACGACUCAUCAUUUGUUUAUUAAACAAGCAAGAUAACACAACAUGCGUGCUUUUCAGAUAUUUUCACUAAAUUACUUGUGUGAUUUUCAGAUGCUCUAUUAAACACAUGUGACCAUUUCCAACAUUUGAGAAAAACUAUUCUGGUCCAUUUGCAACAUGUGAACUAAGCUUGAAGAGAUUUAGAAAUUAAAGAAGCGUAAAAUCCAAGACCAUUUACAUCAGAAAGUUCCUAUUGAGAUGGCAUGGUAUGCCUUUGCCUAAUUGCCUUUUCAGUAAUAUCGGAAUGUUGUUAUUGAGCUUUGUGUAGCCUGGAGCUUUGAUUUAACUAAUCUGUGCCAGCCUAUCCAAUUGACAUAAUAAGCCCAUAGUUUAAGUCUUCAGCAGUGCUUCUGAGUUCUGUCUUCAUGGUUCAGUUGUGGUGCAAGAUGCCAGCAUAUACUCCUCAGGUUGUUCUAUCUUCUUCAGAUUAGCGGCUAAUAAAAAAAAGUCCCAGAGUUUAUACUAUCGAUGUUGAUACCUUUCCCUGAAGUAACAGAAAGCUAAAGUGAGUCAUAU